rnacentral:rRNA from 1 species
GAGAUGGAUCUUUCACUUCGGUGACCUGGAGACAGGUGCUGCAUGGCUGUCGUCAGCUCGUGUCGUGAGAUGUUCGGUUAAGUCCGGCAACGAGCGCAACCCACGUCCCUAGUUGCCAGCAUUCAGUUGGGCACUCUAUGGAAACUGCCGAUGAUAAGUCGGAGGAAGGUGUGGAUGACGUCAAGUCCUCAUGGCCCUUACGGGUUGGGCUACACACGUGCUACAAUGGUGGUGACAGUGGGUUAAUCCCCAAAAGCCAUCUCAGUUCGGAUUGUCCUCUGCAACUCGAGGGCAUGAAGUUGGAAUCGCUAGUAAUCGCGGAACAGCAUGCCGCGGUGAAUACGUUCCCGGGCCUUGUACACACCGCCCGUCACACCAUGGGAGUUGGUUCUACCCGACGGCCGUGCGCUAACCUUUUGGAGGCAGCGGACCACGGUAGGAUCAGCGACUGGGGUGAAGUCGUAACAAGGUAGCCGUAGGGGAACCUGCGGCUGGAUCACCUCCUUUCU